ensembl:lncRNA
CUGCAGAGAGGCCCCCAUCCUGCUGAUUGUGAGCUCGUGGGUCAGGAGAUGGCUCCGUCAGUCACAGCAGCCUCUUGGGGGCAACGAACAAAGACCCAUUUGCAACGGCGCCCUGACUGAGGAGCCAUUCACAACACGGGCCCCAAUUCUUACAAUGUCUGUGGGAGGCAGCCUGGCAGUACUUGCCUCUCUGUCAACCCAUUUAUAGAUAAAGAGGCCCUGAUAGGAAAAAAAGACUUGCCCAAGGUGUGGCGGCCAGCGUCACUGGGAUAAAGUCAAGGUGUCGGCAAGGCUGGUUCUUCCUGAGGCCUCUAGGGAAGAAGCUGAUCCUCACCACCUCUGGCUUCCAGAGUCUGCUAGCAUUCCCUGGCUUGUGGCCACAUCACUCCAGUGUCUGCUUCUACUGUCUCCUCACUUUCCACCUCUCCAAUCUGCUGCCCCGCCUCCUCUUAUAAGACCCUGAUGCCUGCCUCGGGCCCAUCUGGAUAAUCGAGAAUAAUCUCCCCAUCUCAAAAUCCUUAAUGUAAUCACUCCUGCAAAUUCCCCUUUGCCGUGUCGGGUAACAU